rnacentral:rRNA from 1 species
GGACCCGCACAAGCAGCGGAGCAUGUGGUUUAAUUCGAAGCAACGCGAAGAACCUUACCAAGGCUUGACAUCCCCUUGACAGGUGCAGAGAUGUGCCCUUCUCUUCGGAGACAAGGGUGACAGGUGGUGCAUGGUUGUCGUCAGCUCGUGUCGUGAGAUGUUGGGUUAAGUCCCGCAACGAGCGCAACCCUUAUCCUUAGUUGCCAGCAGGUAAUGCUGGGCACUCUAAGGAGACUGCCGAUGAUAAAUCGGAGGAAGGUGGGGAUGACGUCAAAUCAUCAUGCCCCUUAUGUCUUGGGCUACACACGUGCUACAAUGGUCGGUACAACGGGGAGCUAAAGAGCGAUCUGGAGCAAAUCCCAAUAAACCGAUCCCAGUUCGGAUUGUAGGCUGCAACUCGCCUACAUGAAGUCGGAGUUGCUAGUAAUCGCGAAUCAGAACGUCGCGGUGAAUGCGUUCCCGGGUCUU